AAUAUUCAAUAUAUGAUUAUUCUAAUUUAUAAAUAAAAAUGCACAACCUUUAUUCUACAGCAUGCUUUAAGUUAUUUUAAAUAGAAAAAUCAUCAAUUUCAAAAUUAUGACUUUAUACAUUAAAAAGCACUGCUAUUGCAUAAAUUGGACAACCCCUCUGCAAUUUUCUCAUCCAAGGUAGUAAGAAUGACUUUGAUAUAUAGCAUCUCUUAAUUAUUUUAAUAAUGCAUAACAUUUUUAAAUAUCCCCUAUGUGAAAGAUAAAAUCAUUUGCAGUAUUUUUUUCACUUUUAAUAUUUUGUGGUUUAUGGUUUACUCUCAGCCAUUGGUUGACUCUGUUGCACUAUUUUUAUCACUUUUGUAGUUUUACACAUCACAUGUCAGAAACUGAUAAGGGAGAAAAACUCUCUUCCUGAGUCAGAAUAAGGAGGACCCAAGUGGAUUUAGUUCUGAAAGCGUUGCUUUAGUUUAAGGUUGAAGGCUUGAGAAUAUAUCCCCCCACCCCCAUGUAUCUUCCUACUCUCCAGUAGGUGCAAGCCUCAGUACCUCUCAAUUUCCCUUCCCUCUUCCUCUCUACCUCUAUCUCUGUAGGAACCCUAAAAUGAUCUCAAUGAAAAGGGGAUCUUUUAUUGGUAUAGUAGUUCAUAUACCCUUUAUUUUCAUAUUAAAUUAAAAUUAAACUAAAUGAUUCAGAAAUAUAAUUUGAACAUAUGUUAAAGAGCAUUUGAUUACCCUAAUCACAAUGUAGGUUUCUUUUUAUUUUAUUUCCCUAAUUAAAUUCAUGGUUUUAUUUAGUUCUUCUGUCAUACUGUAAGCUAUUGCAGCACUGAUCAGUGGAACCCAGUGAAGCCAACUAUAUUAGAAAUUGAAAGUUGAAUAUUCAGUUACAAGAAAAUACAUUUCCACAGAGUACUGCUAACAUCUGUGUCAUGUCUGUUGCCUUUAACCCUUCCUUUCCCAUGAAGGACUUUUGUCUUGAAGUAUUUUGUGAGUAGUGUUCCCUUUCUAGUAAGGUAAGAAAAGUUGACCUCCUACUUUUCUAGUGAAACUUUUGCUUCUUCUAUACUCCAUUUGUUGUUUUCUCCUAGAGUAUCUCCAAUGAUUCUAUUUCUGUCCUAAUUCAUGUAAUUGGAGCAUCCAUUUACAUUUCUUAUCCUUCCUUUAGCUCACAGUGCUGAAUUACCAUCUUUAAAAUAUUUCCUGACUUACUUUAAAAUCUAAGUAGCUCUAAUGCCUUUGCUGCAUAACACAGCCUGACUUUGAGGUGAACUUCCCAUUUUCUCUAGAAAACUGAGGUUAUGGGAACUCACACUACAUAAGAUUGUUCUAAAUGAUCACAUAUUUUUUUUUCCAGGACCUCAAAAAUCUAAGUUUUUUUUUCCCCUAUAUAGAGACAUCUAAGUAUAUAAUCAGUAUGUAAAGCCAUCAACUCUUUCCCUACUGGACACAUUUUUAAAUAAAUAAUUUACACAGAGCUAAAGAUUUUCAUAUAUGAAUAAUUAUAAUAGUUUCAACAUUUGAGAAAUAUGCCUGUACAUAUAUAGAUGUAUUAUAAAGGCAUAUAUGGGUGGACAGACAGGAAAAACUGAAAAGAAUUCUUUUGAAAGGCAAAUUACAAGGGGAACCAUGUUGGUCCCCUGGAAGAAAAUCUACUCUGAGUAAAAAUCAAAUCUGGCAUGACCAGCCAUGGCCUGAGGGCUGAGAGGACAAUGGCUUCAGAUACAGCAGGAUGCCUACCUAUUACUUGGAUUGCCUCAAUCCAGACACAUUAAACUUUUGUAAGCAUUCGCUGGAGAACAAAAUUUAAUAAUUUGGAGGCUAGGCAAUCUUCAAAUGGAAAUGAUAAAUUAUACAAAUAGGGAACUAACAGGGCCUCCUCUUAACACUUUUCACAAAGGGGUAAUGAGGUUGGAUUCCGAGGUGCUAGUUUGAUUGCACAUACCUUCCUGAAUGGUAGGUGAGCAAAGCAGUAUGCUAAUCCUUGCAGGAGGCAGAAAGGCAGGAGCUGGUGAUAUCAGAAGUAGCCUGAAAGGGCAAAUUGGCCAGGUUUAUUAGUGCUGUGUGAUUUCUCUGAAGACUGUGAAACACCAGCAACAAAGGUAGCUGUACAUACAUAUUAAGAAGAAUUUCUUUGUUCCCACUGGCUAAUGAGACCUAAACACACAGUGACUGCUUUUUAGAGUGAUUUGAUUUGACAGUCUGCUUGGCAUGUAGAAGUUACUCUACUGAUUGUUUUCAAGAUGAAGGCUAUUUCAGUUCUUUAAUUUCCUCAAAGUAACUGAAACAACUCUCCUGUAUUAAGAUAUGCCGGACAUUGUAAAUUAAGAUGGAAGAAAGAAGAACUUGUAAAGACAGGUUCAGAAAAUGCAACAUUUGCCUUAGUUUCUUGGGUGAUUAUGGGACUUAUUAUCUAAAUACAGAAGUGCCAUUCUAACCAAACAUGCUGAUCAACAGUGAAUUUUCUUUAUGUUGACAUAUUGGUUCAAGUUCACAGCUGUCUUGAGUAUCCUCACUGCAUUGUGUGUACAAAUCAAAUCUAAAUAUAUGCCUUUGCAUCUGGACAUAUUAUAACAUCAUUGAUUUUUACUAUAAAUCUACUAUUAGUCUCAUCAGUGGAAAAACAAGGAUUAUUUACUGCCCAAAUGCUGAUUACAAUUUUAAGUUUUUUUGUUAAAACAGCCAGCAUUGUAAAGAAUACUCAUUUAGGUCACAAUCAGUUUUUUAAAAAGUAAAUAUGUAUGACAUUCUAUGACUUUGUCUUUCUUGAUAUUUGUGGCUGUGUUACUAUUUUUUUAAUGUAUGUAUAUGUGUAUAUAUAUGUAUAUGUAUUAUGUAUCAUUGCGUGCAUAUGCGUUUAUACAUACAGACAUACAUACACACAUACAUAUCUGUGGAUUAAAGUUUGUUUCAACUAAAAGGUGCAAAUAAUAUUUGUAAUAAAAUACUUUUUAUGUUCUCGUUUACCACUUGAUCUAUGUCCCAAAAUUGUCCACUAAACUCUUUAAAGUGGUAUAGUUUUCUUCCAGUAAAAGUAGCAAUAUGCUUCCUGGCACCUGGAUGCAUAGAAUGUCUCAAAAACUAUCUUUGAGUGAAAAAAUAAAAUUAAAUAUCCCAAGACAUAGGGGAUAAUAAUAAUUUAUGUAACUCACCCAUAUUUUCUGGCACAUAAUUUGUUUAAUUUCUGUUUCUUUACUUAUACACAAUUAUGUAUCAUGAUUGUAGAAAAUAACCUAAUUAGAGAAAUUUCACAGAUCUUUAAAUGAUACAUAUCACUUAUCUGUCCUUAUUUUCAUAUAUUUAAAAACAAAGCAGUUAAAAUCAGUUCCAGUAGAGUAUGCUAGAUACAGAUAUAAUUUCUGAAGUCUGAAAACAUGAGGUAUAUGUAUAGAGUAGUGCACUGGUUUCAAAAGCAAAUAAUGAAAAUCAGUCACAUUACUUGUUAGAUUGCUAUUCAGAAAUAAAUCUUUUAAUUUGAUAGAAAAAUUCCCUUCAAUUCAGAGAAAGCAUCAUUCAGUCAGUCUUAAGGGAACAAACUAAACUGAUAUUGGAGCUAAGAGAGUACUUAUUAAGAGAUUACUUUAGAGCUAGCAAGAUAAAUGAAAUUAAUGCAAAGAGGUAUUUUACAAAAUGUUUUCAAUGUGAAGAAAUCCUUCUGCAAAUUAUCUCCUUUUAACAUUCUAUGUUGUUUAUAUGUUUUUGGAUAUUUGUAUAUGUGUGUGUACACACAGCCUCAUUUGGAGAUGGACUGUUUUGAAUGUGAACUUUAUACUAAUGAGCUUAUGUAUUAUUUAAUACUGUGUAUUAAUAGUAAAACCAGAAUUUUUUAGCAUUCUCUUAAAAUCUUUAAAAUUACAUAUAUAUAUAUAUCAUUUUAUAUGUCAUAUAUAUGAUAGUUUAAUAGUUUUGGCAUUCUCAAUUCAUGUCUUUCUGGCUGGUGCACUUAACUGAUAUUCCAGGCUGAAGAGACACAAUUGAUUAAGAAUAAGAUCUGAACACAGCAUAUGUCACAUUCUUUUGUCAAGACAUAGUCACUUUUUCACUCCUAGCUAGGAAAGAGGCUAAGAAAUACAACCUUAGGCUGUGCUCAUCCUAAUACUAUGGAAAGAGAGGGAUAUUAGCAGUCUGCAAUAGGAUU
rnacentral:lncRNA from 1 species